AAUCAAGCUGAUGAACGUUGUCUUGCCCAUAUGAUCGAAGAUAUCCUAAAGAGCAGCCCUGGAUGUGAGAAGGUCAUGAAUGAAUAUGCUCGCUCUAAAAGUUUGUCAGAUGGCUGAAGACAUGACAUGGUGAAAAAUCUUUGCAGCACAUUUGACAAAUGAACAUGGAACAAGCCCUUCCCGAAGUUUAAAGGAAGAAUAUGCAAAGGGAAUCAUCUCCCUAUUCCCAUACUUGGUUGACACCAGGAUCAAGCUUGGUUAUGUAAGUAGCUGUUGCCUCAAUCUUUUUUUUAUUUAUUUUCCAACAUUUCUACCCUGAUCUUUUUGCAAGGGCCUAGUACAGGAGUUACAGGUUUACAGUUAGAAAUUGUUUUCAUUUGGGACUCUGAAUAACAAAAUCAUGGUUGAUAUGUUGUUGAUAAAGUUUAACUGUAUGACUUCAUUUCAAUAAUUGUAGAGGUUUCACCUCAAUUCAUCCACACAUCUGUAGUCAUGCGCGUGGUGCUGCUGACGUAGAACACGCAUGUGCUGCACCUUCUUUACGAGCAGAGGAAAGCACGCACAUGCGUCAUGUUACUCUCCAUAAUGGCGGAGGACAGUGACUCGGUGGAGAAGAAUUAUUGAAUAAAGUCUUUAUUUUUGUUUUCUUUGCACA